rnacentral:rRNA from 1 species
GAAUCUGCCUGGUAGUGGGGGAUAACGUCCGGAAACGGACGCUAAUACCGCAUACGUCCUACGGGAGAAAGCAGGGGACCUUCGGGCCUUGCGCUAUCAGAUGAGCCUAGGUCGGAUUAGCUAGUUGGUGAGGUAAAGGCUCACCAAGGCGACGAUCCGUAACUGGUCUGAGAGGAUGAUCAGUCACACUGGAACUGAGACACGGUCCAGACUCCUACGGGAGGCAGCAGUGGGGAAUAUUGGACAAUGGGCGAAAGCCUGAUCCAGCCAUGCCGCGUGUGUGAAGAAGGUCUUCGGAUUGUAAAGCACUUUAAGUUGGGAGGAAGGGUACUUACCUAAUACGUGAGUAUUUUGACGUUACCGACAGAAUAAGCACCGGCUAACUCUGUGCCAGCAGCCGCGGUAAUACAGAGGGUGCAAGCGUUAAUCGGAAUUACUGGGCGUAAAGCGCGCGUAGGUGGUUCGUUAAGUUGGAUGUGAAAUCCCCGGGCUCAACCUGGGAACUGCAUCCAAACUGGCGAGCUAGAGUAUGGUAGAGGGUGGUGGAAUUUCCUGUGUAGCGGUGAAAUGCGUAGAUAUA